AACGAACGCUGGCGGCAGGCUUAACACAUGCAAGUUGAACGGGAUUUGCGGAGUGCUUGCACUGUGCAAAGAGAGUAGCGCACUGGUGAGUAACACGUGGGAACAUACCAUAGACUGGGGGAUAACGUUGGGAAACUGGCGAUAAUACCGCAUUCGCCAGGAGGGGGAAAGAUUUAUUGGUUUAAGUUUAGCCUGCGUCCGAUUAGCUAGUUGGUAGGGUAAAGGACUACCAAGGGGACGAUCGGUAGCUGGUCUGAGAGGAUGAUCAGCCACACUGGAACUGAGAGACGGUCCAGACUCAUACGGGAGGCAGCAGUGGGGAAUAUUGGACAAUGGGGGGAACCCUGAUCCAGCAAUGCCGCGUGCGUGAAGAAGGCCUGAGGGUUGUAAAGCACUUUCAGUGGGGAGGAGGUUUGGAAGGUUAAGAGCUAUUCAAAUGGACGUUACCCACAGAAGAAGCACCGGCUAACUCCGUGCCAGCCGCCGCCGUAA
rnacentral:rRNA from 1 species